UCAACUGAAAUUUGGGCUUGAGAAAGAUCAUACAGAUACCAGUGGUGCAUCAACAGGGGUAUCUGCACUAUCGGAUGAUUCAUGGUUAUCUGCUGAUAGCUUUUUAUACCAUCUUUGCAAGGACUUCUUUUCAUUGAUGCUAGAUGCCUCAUCUGUUGAUGGACAUCUGCUGUCGUGGACAAGGAAACUUAAAGAGUUGCUUGAGAACAAUCUAGG